GGAUUGUAUCUCAGUUGGUUGAGCGCUUGCCUAGCAUGCGUGAGGCAGUGGGUUCAAGCCUCAUCGCCA
rnacentral:tRNA from 1 species